UACGGAGGGUGCGAGCGUUGUCCGGAAUCAUUGGGCGUAAAGGGCGCGUAGGUGGCCCAGUAAGCGUGCGGUGAAAGCUCGGGGCUCAACCCCGAGUCGGCCGUGCGAACUACUGGGCUGGAGCACUGUAGAGGCAGGCGGAAUUCCGGGUGUAGCGGUGGAAUGCGUAGAGAUCCGGAAGAACACCGGUGGCGAAGGCGGCCUGCU
rnacentral:rRNA from 1 species